CGAUGAUGUUAAGCGUCAUAUAAAGAGGAAUGACUCUUUACACGAGAAAUUUUAUCCUUAAAAUAUCAAGAGGGGCCCAAUUGAUAUAAUUUUUCUAGUGUUUAAGACGGCUAGAUUGCUCGAAACCCGAAAGCUGGUUUCUUUCGUCUUGAAUGCCUAGUUAUUGCAGUGAUUGAUCGAGUAUGCAGGACACAGGAUGGCUGAAAUCUGUCACAAACAUGCCAAUCCUAAUCAAGGGGGUUCUUACUCGUGAAGUGCAAGAACGGCCGUGGAAGUAGGAGUUGCUGGGGUGGUUGUCUCGAACCAUGGAGGCCGCCAACUCGAUAACACUCCUUCCAAUAUUUCUGUCCUGGAAGAGGUGCAAUCUGUCUGCUGCUACUUCAUCAUUUCUUUUUAUCCUGUGACGAAUUCAAUUGGAAAGUUGUAUGAUAAAGUGUUCAGGUGGUUCGUGCUGUUGUAGGAAAAGUUCCUCUUCUUUUCGAUGGAGGAGUACACCGAGGGACAGACGUUCAAGGAGUUAGCUCUCGGUGCACAAGCUGUUCUUGUAAGAAUCAUAUCCACCACCACUUUAACUCUUAAAACUUGGUCUAUUUUGGUUGUGCCUGGACUUGUUCUCAAUGUCGGUGCAGGUUGGAAGGCCGAGUGAGGCGGCGGGUGAUCGAAAUGCUGAAGGAUGAGUUUGAGCUGAUAUUGGCCCUUUCUGGCUGUCUAGUGUCAAGGAUAUUACCAGGAGCCAUGUGAGAACACAAGAGUGAACAUAAACUCCACUCCAUGCUUCAGUUAUCUAACUUUUGGGGCAAAAUGCAAAUUUUAAACUAGCCAUUGUAAUUCAAGUUGUUUUCUCACGAGAAGGGUGAUUCGAACUUGGUGCAAGAAAUUGAAAUGAUUUUUUGCACAGGUGAUCUUUGAUGAUAAUAAAAAUUUUGAGUGGUUAAGAUUA